ensembl:lncRNA
GGUCAGAGGGAGUCCAGGGACAAAUCCUGCAUGAACACAAGAACAGGUCUUUUGGAUUGAGGGGGCAGAACUGGAACGCAGGAUGCCUGCUGAUCGGGAAGUGCGCUGAGAUUUCUCCUACAGACUUAGAUUCUAAUUUCAUUUGUAAUUUGGAAUGGCUCCCAGUGCUCUGCAAGGCCUGUCUAAAUGACUAGAAGGCAAUGAAGACCCUGGACUGGGAUCAAAAUCUAGUAUUGUGUCAUAUCCCAGAUGGACAUUAAGGAAAGUAUUCUGUUUUUUAUCACGUUUGCUAAUUCUCUUUUCUUAUUCCAUGUGCUGGUAGAGAAGAUGUUUAACUAACAGAAUUCCUGCUUUGAGCACUUGUUUACUUUUUAUUCAUUUUGUAGAAACACUACAUCAGGGUUUGAGCACACCUUAGUCUGAGACCUGAAAUCUGACAAUCCUGCCAGGGUAUAUGUGGUGAGGUCAGUAUUAUUUUGAGUUGAUGUGCAAAAGAAAUGGACUUAAGUGGGUGAGUGUAAACCUAAACUAUCU